UACGUAGGGGGCAAGCGUUAUCCGGAAUCAUUGGGCGUAAAGCGCGUGUAGGCGGUUCCGUAAGUCCGCUCUGAAAGCCCAGGGCUCAACCCUGGGAGGCGGGUGGAUACUACGGAACUGGAGUACGGAAGAGGAGAUUGGAAUUCCUGGUGUAGCGGUGAAAUGCGCAGAUAUCAGGAGGAACACCGGUGGCGAAGGCGGGUCUCUGGGCCGUAACUGACGCUGAGGAGCGAAAGCGUGGGGAGCGAACAGG
rnacentral:rRNA from 1 species